ensembl:lncRNA
CUCGAGUGGAAAGUGGUGUUCUCUGAGCAGCGGUAAUGAGCAUCAGCUGAGAGACUUCUAUCAACACCUCUCCUCAGUAGCUGUUAUCUUUCUCAAGAAGGAACUGAAACGGAGUGAACCGCUUUAAAACUUCUCUGGGGAAGAAGCUCUUUUAGACAGCAGCUUCCUGGGUGGCACUGAACUUUUCCCUCGAUUCAAGGAACUAGAAAGAAGGCUUCGCUCUGGGGCCAUGGAUUGCGUGGGGGUUGUCAGGACCGGCUCAUGUUUAUUGCAGGGGAACACGUUGUGAGUGACUGGCUCUGUGACGACCCUGGGAGUGUGAUGGCAGAGAGGCUAACACAGGGGUCAUAUGUUGUCAAGACGAAAGUCGGAAGAGGGAAAAACGGUGGAAGCUGCAUUACGAGUGACAAGAACAAGGAACUUCAAUACCCCAAACACUACUUAAACACUUUUGAAUACUUCAACUAGCCCAAUAAAGAAAAAGCAACAUUAUGCAAAUACACACAU